rnacentral:piRNA from 1 species
UAGCAUAAGGCGUUUUAUUAU